rnacentral:tRNA from 1 species
GGCUGGUUGGCGCAAUGGUAACGCACUCGCCUUCCAUGCGAUGGGUCCGGGGUUCAAAUCCCGGACAGGACG